AUGGGGAAAAAAUCCCAGAAAAUGGCAAAAAAAUGUUCACAAAGACGGAGAAAAAAACGUUCGAAAAAUCGACCCCCAAAACCCCGAAAAUCCCCGGAAAAUCCCCCAAAAACCACCAAAAAAUCCCCAAAAAUCGCCAUUACUUCCCAGUUUGACUCCUUUCUUUCUCUUUUUUUCCCAAAAUCCCCCUUUUUUCCCCCAAAAUUCAGCCCUAGGUCCCGUCCCAGACGACGUCACCUUGCUGUCGGCCGUCGCCAGCGCUCUUCACAUCAGUUCCAUUCCCAAGGGAAAGAAAUCCCCCAAAAUGGGGCAAAAUCCCCCCAAAUUGGGAAUAAAUCCCCAAAGUGGAGAAAAAAAAUCCCCAAAAAUGGGGAAAAUAUCCCCCAAAAUGGGGCAAAAACUCCCAGAAAAUGGGAGAAAAUCCCCAUAAAGGUGAAGAAAAACAUUUUUGAAGAACCGACUCCCGAAAUCCCCCCAAAAUCCCCCAAAAAUCACAAAAGAAAAUCCCAAAAAUGGGGCAAAAUCCCCCAAAAUGAGAGAAAAACCCUAAAAUUGAGGGAAAAUUCCCAAAAAAUGGGGAAAAAAUCCCAGAAAAUGGCAAAAAAAUGUUCACAAAGACGGAGAAAAAAACGUUCGAAAAAUCGACCCCCAAAACCCCGAAAAUCCCCGAAAAAUCCCCCAAAAUUCACCAAAAAAUCCCAGAAAUGGGGAGAAAUCCCCCAAAAUGAGAGAAAAACCCUAAAAUUGGGGAAAAUUCCCAAAAAAUGGGAAAAAAAUCCCAGAAAAUGGCAAAAAAAUGUUUACAAAGACGGAGAAAAAAACGUUCGAAAAAUCGACCCCCAAAACCCCAAAAAUCCCCGAAAAAUCACCCAAAAUUCACCCAAAAAUCCCAAAAAUGGGGAGAAAUCCCCAAAAAUGAGAGAAAAACCCUAAAAUUGGGGGAAAAUUCCCAAAAAAUGGGGAAAAAAUGCCAGAAAAUGGCAAAAAAAAUCCCCAUAAAUAUGAAGAAAAAAACGUUCGAAAAAUCGACCCCAAAAACCCCAAAAUCACCCAGAAAAUCACCAAAAAAAUCCCCAAAAUGGGACAAAAAGGGGGAAAAAUCCCAAAUUGGGGAAAAAUGUCCCAAAAUUGGGGAAAAAAUCCCAAAAAUAGGGAAAAAAUCCCAGAAAAUGGCAAAAAAUCCCCAUAAAUAUGAAGAAAAAAAGCUUCGAGGAAUCGACCCCAAAAACCCCAAAAUCACCCAAAAAAUCAUCAAGAAAAUCCCAAAAAUGGGACAAAAUGGGGGAAAAAUCCCAAAUUGGGGAAAAAUGUCCCAAAAUUGGGGAAAAAAUCCCAAAAAAUGGGGAAAAAAUCCCAGAAAAUGGCAAAAAAUUCUCAGAAAUAUGAGGACAAAAAACUUUCGAGGAAUCGACCCCAAAAACCCCAAAAUCACCCAAAAAAUCACCAAAAAAAUCCCAUAAAUUGGGAAAAAUGGGGGAAAAAUCCCCAAAAUGGGGAAAAAUGUCCCAAAAUUGGGGCAAAAAUCCCAAAAAUAGGGAAAAAAAUCCCAGAAAAUGGCAAAAAAUCCCCUUAAAUAUGAAGAAAAAAACCUUCGAGGAAUGGACCCUAAAAAUAGGGGAAAAAACCCAAAAAAUCCUCAAAAAAUCCCCCAAAAUUCACCAAAAAAUCCCAGAAAUGGGGAGAAAUCCCCCAAAAUGAGAGAAAAAGCCUAAAAUUGGGGGAAAAUUCUCAAAAAAUGGGGAAAAAAUCCCAGAAAAUGGCAAAAAAUCCCCAUAAAUAUGAAGAAAAAAACCUUCGAGGAAUGGACCCUAAAAAUAGGGGAAAAAACCCAAAAAAUCCUCAAAAAAUCCCCCAAAAUUCACCAAAAAAUCCCAGAAAUGGGGAGAAAUCACCAAAAAUGAGAGAAAAAGCCUAAAAUUGGGGGAAAAUUCCC
rnacentral:lncRNA from 1 species